rnacentral:rRNA from 1 species
CCUACGGGGGGCUGCAGUGGGGAAUAUUGGACAAUGGGGGCAACCCUGAUCCAGCCAUGCCGCGUGUGUGAAGAAGGCCCUCGGGUUGUAAAGCACUUUCAGUGAGGAAGAACGCCUGGUGGUUAAUACCCAUCAGGAAGGACAUCACUCACAGAAGAAGCACCGGCUAACUCCGUGCCAGCAGCCGCGGUAAUACGGAGGGUGCGAGCGUUAAUCGGAAUUACUGGGCGUAAAGCGCGCGUAGGUGGCUUGAUAAGCCGGUUGUGAAAGCCCCGGGCUCAACCUGGGAACGGCAUCCGGAACUGUCAAGCUAGAGUGCAGGAGAGGAAGGUAGAAUUCCCAGUGUAGCGGUGAAAUGCGUAGAGAUCGGGAGGAAUACCAGUGGCGAAGGCGGCCUUCUGGACUGACACUGACACUGAGGUGCGAAAGCGUGGGUAGCAAACAGGAUUAGAUACCCUUGUAGUC